UGCAGAGGCAGAACCUUGAAGACCAUCCCCAAUUCGCAUCGGGAAUAUUUUCAAAAUAGAAAAAGCGAGUUUAACUUGAUCUUUAAAAUAAAAUUUGGCCAGUAGAGUUUCACUUGAUUUGUUUUGCAGUUUCUACUAGCAUUAGUGCAUUAUUGAUGUAUGAUGUUACUCGCAGAUUAACUGAAUGCAUGUCAGUUAGUUCCUUCCAAAUAUUGCCUGAUGUCUGCAUUGUGGAGUGAACAAUCUGUUGUCCCAUGACUAUCUAGUGUUUAGUUGAAAUAACUGGAGCUUCUGUCCGAUGCCUACAGCAAUGCCAAGAAAAUUUAGGGUAGUGUAGGAGUUAGGAUAUACAGAUUUAAUCUUUUUAGAUGAAAGGGAGGAGCUCCCCGGCUCCCAUUUUAUUAAGAGGAAGCCAAAAACCCAAGUACCACAAGCCUUUAAAAGAAGGCAGUUCACACACCCAAAACUAAAACCACUCCACUACAGGAGGCCUAACAGAAGUCUCACUGCCAAAUGAAAACAAAUUCCGAUCCAGGGCAAGCCCAGAUGCAUAGCAACGUUAUCAGAACCAACACCCAACACCACUACUCCAAUUACAGGCAAACUGUCGAGGCUAGGAUGCCAAAGUCGAGCGUGGAGACGGGGCUUGGCACAGGGAUGACGGCAGUCUCAGCUAAAGACGGCUCGCAGUCCUUGAACUCCGUUGGGGGAAUGUCCAUCACCGUCACCCCCACGUGACUAGGAAUGGCCUUUUGAUCAGUUGUAGCAGCUGUUCAUCGAGGUUCUCCAUCCGGGACCAGAAUAUGUUCCUUGUAAAUCAGCUUCCAUUUCCUGACUCCACCAAAUCUGUUUGACAGUAAUCCAUCCACCAAAUCCUAGGUCGUAACUAAUAAGGCCUUUUGAGCUUUAAAGCCAUCCAUCAAAUCUGUUUUUCAUAAAUCCAUGGCACAUCAUUAAAGAUCAUGUUAUUUCUAUGUUUCUACUAGUUGGGUGCCUGUGCGUUGCCACGGUCUAGAUUAUUUUUAUAUGCAAUAAGCUUUAUGACAUGUGCAUAACGCACUGUUUAUAUAAAUGCGAUAACCUCUAAGAGAUGUGCAUAAGAUUUAAGAUUGCAACCCAAC
rnacentral:lncRNA from 1 species